rnacentral:rRNA from 1 species
GAUGAACGCUGGCGGCGUGCCUAAUACAUGCGAGUCGAGCGAACAGACGAGGCGCUUUCUUCUCUGAUGUUAGCGGCGGAAGGGUGAGUAACACGUGGGUAACCUACCUAUAAGACUGGGAUAACUUCGGGAAACCGGAGCUAAUACCGGAUAAUAUUUUGAACCGCAUGGUUCAAAAGUGAAAGACGGUCUUGCUGUCACUUAUAGAUGGAUCCGCGCUGCAUUAGCUAGUUGGUAAGGUAACGGCUUACCAAGGCAACGAUGCGUAGCCGACCUGAGAGGGUGAUCGCCCACACUGGAACUGAGACACGGUCCAGACUCCUACGGGAGGCAGCAGUAGGGAAUCUUCCGCAAUGGGCGAAAGCCUGACGGAGCAACGCCGCGUGAGUGAUGAAGGUCUUCGGAUCGUAAAACUCUGUUAUUAGGGAAGAACAGACGUGUAAGUAACUGUGCACAUCUUGACGGUACCUAAUCAGAAAGCCACGGCUAACUACGUG